GCAAUGGUGGUUCAGUGGUAGAAUGCUCGCCUGCCACGCGAAAGACCCCGGUUCGAUUCCCGGCCAAUGCA
rnacentral:tRNA from 1 species